rnacentral:rRNA from 1 species
UACGUAGGGUGCGAGCGUUGUCCGGAAUUAUUGGGCGUAAAGGGCUCGUAGGCGGUUUGUCGCGUCGGGAGUGAAAACCUCGGGCUUAACUCGGGGCUUGCUUUCGAUACGGGCAGACUGGAGGUAUGCAGGGGAGAACGGAAUUCCUGGUGUAGCGGUGAAAUGCGCAGAUAUCAGGAGGAACACCGGUGGCGAAGGCGGUUCUCUGGGCAUGACCUGACGCUGAGGAGCGAAAGUGUGGGGAGUGAACAGG